rnacentral:lncRNA from 10 species
CAUCUGUUUCAGACAUUUAUUUCCAUUUAAAUGACACUUUGAAAGAUCGAGGAGCCAAUCUGUACCGCAAAGACAACUUAUCAUCAAAGACUCUAGAAGUACAAUCGUAUCAAUUCACAAGACUUGAUUUCUUCAACUUAAAUGAUAGCUUUUAGUUAAAAUAUACCUGAGAGAAGAACUCCAAAGGAUGCCUGCCUCAUAAUCUGCCCUGGACUUGUCAUUCCCGACAGGACACCUCAAUGGACACUGCCCCACCCCAUUAAGACUCUGAAGCGUAGGGUCCCAUUGCUUUGCUUCCGAAAUCCAAGGGGAACAAGAAGUACCCAUCUCUUACAAAAAUAAGCAUGUCAACAUUGUUCAGUACAUUUUUCUACACAUAUAAAAUCAAAAUAAAUUGUAAAAAUAUUUUUCCAGGUACAAAAUAAAUAUAGAAAACAUCAAUGUAAAAACAAAAGGAUUGUCCGAUUCAGACCAUUACCUUGCCAAUUUUUCGGGAAGAGUGAAUUAUCACAUCAAUCGACAACCUAAAACUCACCUAGUUAAGUGCAUUAUUUUCAUAAUUUAAUUUUCAUUAAAAAUAAAUAUGAUUAUUAACCAAUAAUAAGGACAUAUACCCAUUUCCAAAAUACAAUGACAUAAGAGUCUAGCAGAUCCCCCUAAUAUACAAGGAAAUGACAGUUUCAAAUAGCAUUCAGUGACAUGUAAAUUUAAUUUCGUGUCUUUUAGGAAAAGCAAAAUUUGACUGCGAAGUCUCCUCUGGUUGCAUUAAGUAAUUUCCAGUCAUGGUAGAUUUUAGUGAUGUCUUAUUUGACCAGGUAAAACAAGUCAUCUAUUUCCCAUCUGAUACUCUCUGGAGCCGAAUUGAACCAAGUAUCACUAUGUCUUUGGCUUACCUCUUCGGGGACCCAGGGACUGGACCCCUGAGCCAACAGACCUCACGCUGGCUUCGCUGGCAGGAGGGUCUGCGCCUGGCUGUGUCCACGCCACACUGGCCAACUUAACUCUGCGCUUCUUUGACCAGUGAAUGGAGGUAGAAUAGAUGAUGUAAAGCAGUAUGACACAAAAUGUUGCAUUUGGCUAUGGAGUUCGUUUUUCUGCUCAUAUUUAAAAGUGAUUGUGUCUGAUAAGUAGGAAGAUCAUUUUUUAAAUUAAUUAAAAACUAAUUUUUUGUUUGUCAGUCUUCCGAUUGGCAGGUGCCAGGAUGCACUCCAACUUCCUCCUGUUGGCGUGGCUCUUGCCCUGUGCAGAGGGUGGACAGGUUCCCUUCAGCUUCAAGGCCAAUCUGAGAGCAAGAGGUCCGUUCCUAGCACUCAGAUUUCAACAGCAGGAAAACAGACAGAAAUUCAUGCCUCUACAUUCCCAGGGGCCACACACUGCAAAUCCUUCUCUCUACAUUCCCAACAGAGAAUGUAAGCACCUUUCAUAUCCCAGAGACAUAGUUAAGAGUUUACUUCAAAUACACCUCAGCCCAUGAUAAAGUUCCUAGUGUUCACAUACAGAUUUUGGGGUCACGUAGAACGAAACAGAAAUAAAAACAAGUCCCAACAAUAAUGAAUAAAAGAGGCUUCAGGAACUGAUGUUUGAAGGAACCUUACAGCUCACUCCCAGGCCACCAUUCUUUCUUGUGAUGGGAGUUGCCUUGUGGGUGCCUGAAUACCACCUUUGAGAGAUCCCCUGAGAACCCAAUAGAUAAUUAUCAAGUAUCUACUCUCCAGCAGGCACCAUGCCAGAGACCCAAACAGAGAGAGGAAUCAGGCUGGAAGAACUUUAAAAUCUGCCAGGAGCGACACAGCCAUGGAAAUUGCUAUAAUGUCCAUUCUGAUAUAACAAACGCUGAAAAUUAAUUAAUUAAAAAAAUGUUAUGAGAAAGCAAAUAAUUCCUGCUACAGUUUGAAUGUGUCCCCCAAAGUGCAUGUGUAAGGAAACUUAAUCCCCAGUGCAACAGCGUUGAGAGGUGGGACCUUUUAAGAGGUGACUGGGUCAGGAGGGUUCUGCUGUCAUGAAUGAAUUAAUGUUAUUAUAAGAGGAGGGUCAGUUAUUGCCAAGAGUGAUUUUAUCAAAGCAAGUUUUGCUCUUUUGCCCACAAUGACACAGCAUGAAGGCCCUCACCAGAGGCCAGUGCCAAGCUCUUGGACUUCCUAGCCUCUAGAACCAUGAGCCAGAUUAAUUUCUAUUGUCUAUAAAUCGCCCAGUCUGUGGUAUUCUGUUACAGCAACACAAAACAAACUAAGACACUUCCAAAUGGAGGACAUGGAGAAAAUGUAAACAUUGCCUCAUCUGUUUUUAAAAUGAGGGUGCAUGGCAGCUGUUAGAUUAAAUAAUUAACAAGCCUGAUUUAAUAUAUCACAGAGCCAUAGACUCUUGGCACGGAGGGCCCAUGAGAGUCACCAAAGCCUGUUUUUUUUUUUCUUUUGGAACUGUUUAUCAAGGAUUCUAAAACUUCCAUUGAGACAACCAUUUCACACCUGGGCACUCCACACCACGCCAUCUUAACAAGACCUCCUUCUUCAUAUCGUUACUCUGCAAAUCACACACAGACCUUGCCCCCCAAAUCAGGGAUAUUUGGAAUAUAUAUCCUGAGUUUGCAGAGGCUAGCUUAGAGCCUGGGUCUGCAAUGGUGGUCUUGGAGUCUCAGGUCACAGAGGCUGGCCUGGUACCAAGAUCUACUAGGAUAAGCCUAGAUCCUGGGUCUACUUGAGCAAGUUGUAACCUGGGUCCUCUGCAGCCUGGGGCCAUGGAGACCUCUCUGGUACUUGGGGUCAGCCCGGUGCUGGGGAUAACAUGGAGCCUUGGUCUCUGGAUCUAUUUACCCCAAAUCAGGAAAUAACCAAGCAAACCCAUUGCUGCUAAGCAACCACUGCAGGCCAUUAGAUACAACAUCGCGAUAGCAGCCCAUGCAUUCAGCCUGCACCCAGUGCUAGGCACAGCCGUGCCAAGAACUCAAUGUGAAUUAUCUUAAUUUCCACACCUCUGACAACCUUCUGAGGUGAACACUAUUAUCAUCCCAUUUUAUAGAGAUGCAGAGACUGAGGUGCAGAGAGAAUGACCACCUGGGGCCACAGCUAGCAAAUUGCAGAGCCAGGGCUGGAACCCGGAGGCGGAGGCUUGAGCGGAGAUGUAAAUGGAAUGGGGCCUCCGUAAGUGGGUCGCCCAGCCCUGGAAGCAAGGUCUCCUCUUCCCCAGUUAGUAUCCUCCCAUGGGCCCUUUUCCCCAGCUUCCCCACCAGGUAGACAGUAACCUGGUGUCCCAGUUACCUCCUUACCGGGUGGGUCUCUAUUUUCCAUGGCUCCUGCCACCAUGGAAGCUGGAGGCUCUGCAAGGCUGUACGUCAGUACAGUUUCUACAGGUGCACAGGGCUAGCUGUGCCCUAAAGAGCGGACGGAAUCCACAUUCUGCACUUCUAGCUGCACAACCUUGGGGUGUGCACACACACACACAAUGCUUCCUUGUUCUUACCAUUCCCAGAGGCCAUGCUCAUAUUUGUUAGCUGAAAUUUAAAGCUUAGGAAGGAAUUUUAAUAAAUUACUUAUGAAACCAAAGUAAACAUCGGGAUAAUUUUUUGCACAAAAAUAACCACACUCAAGGGGAUCAAAAACUCGCAUGAAAAUUAAUUAUUUGGCUUUCCAAGUCCAUUUCAGCCCUCUGUGCCAGCCUGUUGGGAUAACCGGUGCAGCACCCGGUGCCCGGCGGGAGUUGGAAAUCACCAGUCUGACCUCUCACGGACGGCGUGGCCAAAGUUAACUUAGCAAAUUGAGGGCACUGCGAAGCUCGUUAAAUAGGCAAUGACACAUGAAACAAUGAAAAUUGCUGCUCUUGACCACGCUCACCCUCCUGCAGCCUCCAGGGAGGUGGCCUCGGGGCUCACUGACCCUGUGCCAGGAAGCUCUACCCUCAGGACAGGGUGCCAGAGGGCAAGUCACUGGCUUCCCUGGGCCUCUGAGUUUCCUAAUCAGAUUUGCUGUUUUAAAAAAUUACUCCAAAUGUCAAGUGGAGGACAGAUUGGAAAGUGGCAGGGACAGGCCCGUGGGACCAGUUAGGAGGAGGUGGCUCGAGUCGGGAUGAAUCCAGACAGGUGUGGGCGGCAAGCCAGAGGUUAGCACAGCGGGCGUGGGAUAUGGGGCUCAAGGAAAGAAGGCCUGGCAAGUUAUUGUUGACUUGGAUUUUUCUUUCCUCUCUUUUCACACAGUGUAUUAUGUGGUUACAAUGGUGUGUUUGAAGAGGAGCAGGAAUUAAAUACAUUUAGGGUUUUGUUUUGUUUUUUAAGGCAUGGUGGAUGCCAGCAGGCUGAAGGGUCAGGAGGUCUGGUCUUCCCACUGCCACUAAGUGCUGAGCUGAAGCACAAAUUCUUGAAACAUGGCUGGGUGUGGUGGCUCACACCUAUAAUCCCAGCACUCUGGGAGGCUGAGGCACGUAGAUUACCUGAGGUCAGGAGCUCAAGACCAGCCUGGCCAACAUGGUGAAACCCCGUCUCUACUAACAAUACAAAAAUUAGCUGGUUGGUGGUGCAUGCCUAUAAUCCUAGCUACUCGGGAGGCUGAGGCACAAGAACCCAGGAGGUGGAGGUUGCAGUGAUCCAAGACUGCACCACUGCACUUCAGCCUAGGUGACAGAGUGAGACUCUGUCUCAAAAACAAACAAACAAAAACAAGAGUUUGCAUGACAGUGUAGAUGAGACAGGACUGGCCAGGUGUCGGGCUGGAGGACAGGCGCACAGACUGCACCGUGUGAUUCUGUCCACCCUGCAUUGUGUGAGGUUUUCCGUUUUGGAAGAAAAGGGGUGAAGAGCAUGGCUGUGGAGCAUUUCUAGGUUUUCAGGUCACAGAGUCGCACCCAUUUCCUACUUACUGACUCAAGUGAAACCACAGUGUUGGCUUACUUUGAAAAAUAUUUCUUUUUUUUCAGUCCUGGUUCACCCAUUCCCUUCUAAAACCCACCUACCAUACCAAUACAUUCAGUUCCACUCAACAAAUGUUUAUUGAGCAUCUACUAUGUGCUGGGACCAUGCUAAGAAUCCAAGGUGCGUCAGUGAAGGAAACAGAGAAAGACCCACGGCCCACACAAAGGUUACAUUCAAGUUGCGUGAAACAUAAACCAUAAAAUAUAGAUAUGUUAUAAUAAACAGAUAUUACAUGCUUUGUUAGAAAUUGGUAAGUGCAAGGAAAACAAUAUAAGGUACGGGGCAUGGGAGUGAGGUGAGUUGCAUUUUCCUACAGGGAGGUCAGGGUAGGCCUCACUGAGAAGGUGACAUUGACCAAAUGUCAACAAGGCAAAGAAGCGAAGCAUGAGAGCAUCUGAAGAAAGGGCACUCCCAGCAGAGAGGACAGCCAGUGCCAAGGCUGACGGGGAUGGGCACAUAGGGCAAAGGGGCUGCUGUGGCUGGAACAGACUGCUGUUCAGGGAACAGCAAGAGGCCAGAGGGAGUGAGCAAAGGGACACGAUUAGGGAAUCACAGGUAGACAAUGGUAUGAAGGAUGUGGUUUUUAUCCUUAAUAUCCUUGGUGAUGGGAAACCUCAGGAGGGUUUUGAGCAGAGAAAUGAGAUUUUCAAAGGAUCACUCUGGAUGCUGCUGGGAAGAGACCAAAGGAUGCAAUAAUGGAAGCUGAGGGAGGGUCUGGAGGUAGCUGCACGAAUGCAGGUGAGAGGCAAUGCAGGCUUGAACAAGGGUGGUCGCAGUGGAGGGGCAGGAGGUGGUUGGCUCCUGGAGAGAAUUUGAAGGUAGUUCCCACAGUCUUUCCUGAUGCACCAGAUGGGAGAGGAGUCGGAAUGGCUCCAGGGCUUCCCACUUGAGCUGCAGGAAGAUGGAGUGGCCAUUACCUGAGACGGGAAUGGCUGCAGAUGGGCUGGAUGUGGGGCAGUUAACCAGAAGGUCAGUGUUGGAUUGUUCACUAUGGGAAAUCAGGUAGGCAGUGGAUUGAAGAGCAAGAAAGAGUUCUAGGCUGGAGAUAAAUGGAAACAUCAUCAACAUAUUUAAAGCCAUGAGACAAGGUGGGCCCCUCGGAGGACUGGGUAUAACCAGGGAAGAAAGGGGGCCCCACGCAGAGCCCAGGAUCCUCCAGCACGACACUGUCAGAGCAAAGAGAAGGAGCAAGCAGGGGAGAUGGAAAAGGCGAGCAGCAAGGAGGAGGGAGACCAAGAGCACCCGGUGUCCUGGAAGCUGGUGAUGAGGACUCGCCACGUCAAGCAGGAGGAGAACAAGAACUGCCCACAGGACCCAGCCACAGGGGGUGGUGGGUGCCCUGAGAAGGGCCAUGUGGGUGGAGUGGGGGUGCAGAAGUCUGAUGAGACGGCAUUUGGGAAAGAAGGGAAGGAUUAGGACGAGGCAACAGACAAGUAAAACUCUCGUGCGGGGUUCCACCAGAAACGCAACAGGAUGGGGCAGCGGGACGGGGAAGGGGGUCAGGGAAGGGGUCGGGGAAGGUGGUGGCCAUUUCUGGUCAGGUGGAAAAUGGCAGCGUGUCUGUGUGCUAAUGGGGUGAUCCAGCAGAGGGGACAGCAGGUGGUAGGACGAGAGUGAGGCAGGAGGCUCGUUUGAGGCUCGUUGAGUUCAAGGCUGCAGCGAGAUCAGGCCACUACGCUCCAGCUUGGGUGACAGGGUGAGACCCUGUCAGAAAAAAAGAAAAGAAAAGAAGAGGGAAGGGGAUGGGAGGGGAGGGGAGGGGAGGGGAAACAAUGGGUCUCAAAGAAAAUCCUUUAAGAACACACAGAAGCAGUAGGGAGAGCCCACGCCUGUCCUCAUUUGUCCCUGGAGCUGUGGGCUGUGAGCUGAUGCUGUGAAGGCCAGACCCAAAGCCAGUCACACAGAGGCAGCAGCUGGACCGGCCUCGCCGACUGAGACCAGUGGCCACACAGACACACACCUGACAAGGUAGACCACGAAACACAGACGCAGGCCUACUGCCAAACAGACGACUUCUCCCUCAAAGCACAGUCAUCUUCAGAAUGAGAGGCGGCCCAUCCUAUGGAACCGAGAGGCGUGGCUCUUAAAUUUGGGCUUCAAAAGACAAGCUCAGUCCCUGAUUUUUUCCACCUGAGAAGGAGGCUUUUCUGAACAUGACCCAGUGCGUUCAGAGCAGCCAGGAUGAGGAAACACAUCUACAAAGAAGCAGCUUAAUCCAAACACAAGAAAUGGUAUGCAAAAUAGGAUAUCAGACGUACUUUUGCAAUUGAACAUGGUCAAAACCAUUUUGCAGCAAGUAACUUUUCCUGAGUUCAAGUAAGAGUUUAGUCCAACAUUUAUAUGUGACACAGCCAUGUGAGGCCUCUUCUCUGAGUACAAAGUAAAGUCUGG